rnacentral:rRNA from 1 species
CUACCCAGAAAGGGACGGCUAACUACGUGCCAGCAGCCGCGGUAAUACGUAGGUCCCGAGCGUUGUCCGGAUUUAUUGGGCGUAAAGCGAGCGCAGGUGGUUUAUUAAGUCUGGUGUAAAAGGCAGUGGCUCAACCAUUGUAUGCAGUGGAAACUGGUAGACUUGAGUGCAGGAGAGGAGAGUGGAAUUCCAUGUGUAGCGGUGAAAUGCGUAGAUAUAUGGAGGAACACCGGUGGCGAAAGCGGCUCUCUGGCCUGUAACUGACACUGAGGCUCGAAAGCGUGGGGAGCAAA